CAAUAGCGUAUACUAAAGUUGUUGCAGUUAAAAAGCUCGUAGUUGAAUUUUUGCUUGCCGCCGAUGUCGGAACUUCCGUACGUUCGGCGGCGUGCAUCCUUGGGUGGAACCUGUGUGGCAUUAGGUUGUCGUGCAGGGGAUGCUCAUCGUUUACUGUGAAAAAAUUAGAGUGUUCAAAGCAGGCUUACGCCGUUGAAUAUAUUAGCAUGGAAUAAUAAGAUAGGACCUUGGUACUAUUUUGUUGGUUUGCGCACCGAGGUAAUGAUUAACAGGGACAGUUGGGGGUAUUCGUAUUCCAUUGUCAGAGGUGAAAUUCUUGGAUUUCUGGAAGACGAACUACUGCGAAAGCAUUUACCAAGGAUGUUUUCAUUAA
rnacentral:rRNA from 1 species